CCGAGGCUGAGCAGGCGCAGGGCCGGCAGCAUGAGCCGCGAGGAGUGAACCGUUCGCCCAGGCGCCGGCUCCCACCGGGGCGGAACCGAGACGCACGAGUUGGCCGCAAACUCCUCUCCCGAGUCUACUUGGAGGCAGCGUCUCUUCGGUUGGAGAUGGACAUUGAAAUGACACUUCCCAUUAAUUUUCCACUGGAUGAAGAACAGAUACAAAAGUCAGUUCAGUUUCUUUUGUGGUGAUGUGACUGAAAUCUUAAAAGAGUUGGACAAAAGAGCCCGGAAGUGCAUGCUUCCAGCGUUCAUUGGAAUACCACUGAGUGGAAACUGUCAUGUCCUCACACCACAGCCUCAAACACUCCAUUUUCUCUCCUUAAACGAUCUAAUUUUA